rnacentral:rRNA from 1 species
GAUGAACGCUGGCGGCGUGCCUAAUACAUGCAAGUCGAGCGAACAGAUAAGGAGCUUGCUCCUUUGAAGUUAGCGGCGGACGGGUGAGUAACACGUGGGUAACCUACCUAUAAGACUGGGAUAACUUCGGGAAACCGGAGCUAAUACCGGAUAACAUUUAGAACCGCAUGGUUCUAAAGUGAAAGAUGGUUUUGCUAUCACUUAUAGAUGGACCCGCGCCGUAUUAGCUAGUCGGUAAGGUAACGGCUUACCAAGGCGACGAUACGUAGCCGACCUGAGAGGGUGAUCGGCCACACUGGAACUGAGACACGGUCCAGACUCCUACGGGAGGCAGCAGUAGGGAAUCUUCCGCAAUGGGCGAAAGCCUGACGGAGCAACGCCGCGUGAGUGAUGAAGGGUUUCGGCUCGUAAAACUCUGUUAUUAGGGAAGAACAAAUGUGUAAGUAACUGUGCACAUCUUGACGGUACCUAAUCAGAAAGCCACGGCUAACUACGUG